UAAUCAUAUAAGAGAGGCAAAAGAAAAAAAAGAUUCAGAAACUUACUCCUCCACGCUUAUAACAUAUAAUAUUCGUCCUCUUAAUAUAUAUAUUUUUCUGAUUCACAAAAAAAGUUUGAGUCUUCAAGUUUGUUUUCGCGGUUUCAAGUUCGUAGCUUAUGAUUGUUAGUCCUUUCUUCUCGUGAAUUAAUUCUUACAAGAGAAUAAAAGAAAAGAGGGAAAGAGGAAAUCAAUCUGCAUCGGCAAAUAUCCCCAAACGAUCGAGAAGAGGGUGGCUGCCUCAUACUUCAUGUGCAAGACGGAAAUAGUAAAAGGAACAAAAAGAGGCAAGUGAUGACGAAGGUGAAGAAUAUGACAAAGAAAACGAGGUACCGAAACAUGUUGCUGAAGAGUUUCGGCAGUUUGAGAAUUAACAUAAGCCGAAUUUGGAAGAAACUGAGAUUGUGAAUCUAGGAGAUGAGGAGUGCAUCAAGGAGGUCAAAAUUAGUGUUCAUCUGACUGAAGCUCAAAGAAGAGACCUGAUUUGUUUGCUUAGUGAAUACAUUGAUGUAUUUUUCUUGAUUUAUAUCAAUAUGCUAGGGUUUACUACGAAUGUGGUGUCCUAUAAAUUGUUGAUUAAUCCAGGUAUCAAUCAAAUAAAACAAAAGACUCGGUAGUUCAAGCCUAAGUUAAUUUAAUGAUUUAAAAAUAGAUUACCAAGAA